rnacentral:rRNA from 1 species
UACGAAGGGGGCUAGCGUUGCUCGGAAUCACUGGGCGUAAAGCGCACGUAGGCGGAUUGUUAAGUCAGGGGUGAAAUCCUGGAGCUCCGAACUCCAGAACUGCCUUUGAUUACUGGCGAUCUCGAGUCCGGGAGAGGUGAGUGGAACUGCGAGUGGUAGAGGUGAAAUUCGUAGAUAUUCGGAAAGAACACCAGUGGCGAAGGCGGCUCACGUGGCCCGGU